ACCAGACUCCUACGGGAGGCAGCAGUGGGGGAUAUUGCACAAUGGGGGGAACCCUGAUGCAGCGACGCCGCGUGGGUGAAGAAGUAUUUCGGUAUGUAAAGCCCUAUCGGCAAGGAAGAAAUUGGACGGUACCUGACUAAGAAGCCCCGGCUAACUACGUGCCAGCAGCCGCGGUAAUACGUAGGGGGCAAGCGUUAUCCGGAUUUACUGGGUGUAAAGGGAGCGUAGGCGGUUCAGCAAGUCAGAAGUGAAAGCCCGGGGCUCAACUCCGGGACUGCUUUUGAAACUGUUGAACUAGAUUGCAGGAGAGGUAAGUGGAAUUCCUAGUGUAGCGGUGAAAUGCGUAGAUAUUAGGAGGAACACCAGUGGCGAAGGCGGCUUACUGGACUGUAAAUGACGCUGAGGCUCGAAAGCGUGGGGAGCAAACAGGAUUAGAUACCCUAGUA
rnacentral:rRNA from 1 species